CAGGAAAACCUCUUAAAAGCACACAAAUGAUCUGAUUGGAGAGUUUGACCCCACCAUGGAACACAGCCUCAAGAUCAUCCGUGGGAUUACAGACACUCUGAGACUUUACAAGGAAAUGUUUGAUGAGCUCAAGAAACAGCUGCAGCUGCCAAUCACAAUUUUUCUGACAAAGAAACCAUCACCAUCAGCGGAUGUGCACAGGCAACCUUCCUCUGGAUCUUAACCACAGCCAAGAACGUCUUCUGGCUACCUGUCAAUCCCCACCUCCCACCCCGGUCCUCAUAUCAUUUUCAGCAAGUAUCCAGUGAGGGAGAGAAGGAGGAAAACUAAGAGGAAGACUGAGGGCUGCAUUUGCCCCGCACUGUAUGUACAUGAUGACACCAAGAGACCACAUAUCGCAGGAUUUGUCAUACUUCUCAGGACCAAGGACUUCUGGGGCUGAUUGGGAUGGGGAAGAGAACCAAAAGAACUGUGAAUGCUUUGGUCCCUGACUUCCUGAGCCAUCAGUGCUCUCAUCCUGUGCUGGAAAGAGUGAGCACUGUGCUUUGAUGGUGCCAUCUAAGAUGCCCAUCUGAGUCAUCAGACACCUGGGUCAAUUUCUGCUCACUAGGCCCUGCAAAGCCCUAGCCUCAGAGUAUGUUCCUCAGCCUGAUCAACUUGUUUCUUGGGUAAGGACACUGGCUGCCUAAGCUCCAGCCCGCUAUC